rnacentral:rRNA from 1 species
UACGAAGGGGGGCUAGCGUUGCUCGGAAUUACUGGGCGUAAAGCGCACGUAGGCGGCUCUUUAAGUCGGUGGUGAAAUCCUGGAGCUCAACUCCAGAACUGCCUUCGAUACUGAAGAGCUUGAGUCCGGGAGAGGUGAGUGGAACUGCGAGUGUAGAGGUGAAAUUCGUAGAUAUUCGCAAGAACACCAGUGGCGAAGGCGGCUCACUGGCCCGGUACUGACGCUGAGGUGCGAAAGCGUGGGGAGCAAACAGGG